CGAAGGUGCAAGCGUUAAUCGGAAUUACUGGGCGUAAAGCGUGCGUAGGCGGUUGCUUAAGUCAGAUGUGAAAGCCCUGGGCUCAACCUGGGAAUGGCAUUUGAAACUGGGCAGCUAGAGUGUGAUAGAGGAUGGCGGAAUUCCCGGUGUAGCGGUGAAAUGCGUAGAGAUCGGGAGGAACAUCCGUGGCGAAGGCGGCCAUCUGGAUCAACACUGACGCUGAGGCACGAAAGCGUGGGAGCAAACAGGAUU
rnacentral:rRNA from 1 species